CUUUUGUGAUCAUAAACCUUGUGUUUAAAUGUCAUUGAUUUCUAUUUACUUAUACUAAAGUUAUUGUGCGAAAACAAAGAAUAAUGCUUAUUUGGGCCCUUUUUUUGCCCCUAAUUCCUAAACAGUUGGAACCAAAACUCCUAAAAUCAAUCCCAACCUUCCUUUUGUGGUCAUAAACCUUGUGUCAAAAUUUCAUAGAUUUCUAUUUACUUAAACUAAAGUUAUAGUGCGAAAACCAAGAAAAUGCUUAUUUGGGCCCUUUUUGGCCCCUAAUUCCUAAACUGUUG
rnacentral:lncRNA from 1 species